rnacentral:rRNA from 1 species
GAUGAACGCUGGCGGCGUGCCUAAUACAUGCAAGUCGAGCGAACAGACGAGGAGCUUGCUCCUCUGACGUUAGCGGCGGACGGGUGAGUAACACGUGGAUAACCUACCUAUAAGACUGGGAUAACUUCGGGAAACCGGAGCUAAUACCGGAUAAUAUAUUGAACCGCAUGGUUCAAUAGUGAAAGACGGUUUUGCUGUCACUUAUAGAUGGAUCCGCGCCGCAUUAGCUAGUUGGUAAGGUAACGGCUUACCAAGGCAACGAUGCGUAGCCGACCUGAGAGGGUGAUCGGCCACACUGGAACUGAGACACGGACCAGACUACUACGGGAGGCAGCAGUAGGGAAUCUUCCGCAAUGGGCGAAAGCCUGACGGAGCAACGCCGCGUGAGUGAUGAAGGUCUUCGGAGCGUAAAACUCUGUUAUUAGGGAAGAACAAAUGUGUAAGUAACUAUGCACGUCUUGACGGUACCUAAUCAGAAAGCCACGGCUAACUACGUG